CACGUAGGGGGCAAGCGUUGUCCGGAUUUAUUGGGCGUAAAGAGCUCGUAGGCGCUCGGUAAGUCGGGUGUGAAACCCCCAGGCUCAACCUGGGGACGCCACCGAUACUGCUGUGGCUAGAGUCCAGUAGGGGAGUGUGGAAUUCCCGGUGUGAGCGGUGAAAUGCGCAGAUAUCGGGAGGAACACCAAUAGCGAAGGCAGCUCGCUGGGACGGUACUGACGCUGAGG
rnacentral:rRNA from 1 species